GGGUCAGUAGGUUGGUCGUGCCACCGGUACGUACUGGCCUCACUGAUUCCUCCUUCCUGAAGAACCGUAAUGCCAUUAAUUUGGUGUUGCAGGGAAACAGGACUGUUACUUUGAAAAAAUUAGAGUGUUUAAAGCAAGCUAACGCUUGAAUACAUUAGCAUGGAAUAAUGAAAUAGGACGAUCGAUCCUAUUUUGUUGGUUUCUAGGAUUGACGUA
rnacentral:rRNA from 1 species